rnacentral:piRNA from 1 species
UCCCUGCUGCCAAUACGGAUGCUUCUACU